GGGAGCUUGCUCCCAGGCGUCGAGUGGCGGACGGGUGAGUAACACGUAGGAACCUGCCCUGUAGCGGGGGAUAGCCCGGGGAAACCCGGAUUAAUACCGCAUACGCACCAUGGUGGAAAGAGGGCCUCUUCUUGAAAGCUCUCACUAUGGGAUGGGCCUACGUCUGAUUAGCUUGUUGGUGGGGUAAAGGCCUACCAAGGCGACGAUCAGUAGCUGGUCUGAGAGGAUGAUCAGCCACACCGGGACUGAGACACGGCCCGGACUCCUACGGGAGGCAGCAGUGGGGAAUAUUGGACAAUGGGCGCAAGCCUGAUCCAGCAAUGCCGCGUGUGUGAAGAAGGCCUGAGGGUUGUAAAGCACUUUUAUUUGGGAAGAAACGCUCGGAGCUAAUACCUUCGAGAAUUGACGGUACCAUCUGAAUAAGCACCGGCUAACUCCGUGCCAGCAGCCGCGGUAAUACGGAGGGUGCAAGCGUUAAUCGGAAUUACUGGGCGUAAAGCGUGUGUAGGUGGUUCGUUAAGUCGGAUGUGAAAGCCCCGGGCUCAACCUGGGAACUGCAUUCGAUACUGGCGAACUAGAGUUUAGCAGAGGAAAGCGGAAUUCCGGGUGUAGCGGUGAA
rnacentral:rRNA from 1 species